GUGAGAAACACCAUUUCUGUACCAGUCAAGUGGAAAUGAAUGGAUCCUCUCCUACCUUCAGAUGGGAGAGGCGCAUCUGAACACUGAGGAUAUAAAAAACAUGAAAGAAAUGAAAUUCAUCCUGCAUGCCAGGAGAGAAAUACUGCACGAGCAACCUGACUGGCCAGCUGAUGACACAUCCCAAGAUACAUGAAGAGUUGAGGACCAUAGCAAACAGGGAUUCCUCUUUAUCAGGAGGUAAGGAAUAUACAGUACCUGCGUAUAGCAUCCCAGUGCAAAUCAAAGACUUUGGUUUUUCUUUCGGAGCCUAUGUUAUAUGUCAAGAGGGGAAU